rnacentral:rRNA from 1 species
GAUGAACGCUGGCGGCGUGCCUAAUACAUGCAAGUCGAGCGAACAGACGAGGAGCUUGCUCCUCUGACGUUAGCGGCGGACGGGUGAGUAACACGUGGAUAACCUACCUAUAAGACUGGGAUAACUUCGGGAAACCGGAGCUAAUACCGGAUAAUAUAUUGAACCGCAUGGUUCAAUAGUGAAAGACGGUUUUGCUGUCACUUAUAGAUGGAUCCGCGCCGCAUUAGCUAGUUGGUAAGGUAACGGCUUACCAAGGCAACGAUGCGUAGCCGACCUGAGAGGGUGAUCGGCCACACUGGAACUGAGACACGGUCCAGACUCCUGCGGGAGGCAGCAGUACGGAAUCUUCCGCAAUGGGCGAAAGCUUGACGGAGCAACGCCGCGUGAGUGAUGAAGGUCUUCGGAUCGUAAAACUCUGUUAUUAGGGAAGAACAAAUGUGUAAGUAACUAUGCACGUCUUGACGGUACCUAAUCAGAAAGCCACGGCUAACUACGUG